AUAUCAGUAUGGUGCUUUACAAGAGUAUGCAGGGAAAUUCAUUCCCCCACUUUUCCUGCUUUUUGACCUGACCUGGCGAAACAAUGACAGUAUGAAAUCCCACUCGUCUCAUUGGUCCAGGUACUGUCGCUUGCCAUGAUGAUAAUGGAAGACAACAUAAGAGUUUGGGCGAUAAGAGGUUUGAGUGAAACACGAGUGUCUGCCUUCCAGAAAAAUGUGACGAAGCCAUGUGUCUACAUCUGAUAAUCACAUAUUCAGUCUGAAAGAUGAAGAAGGCUCAAAAAGGUCACGACUAAUUAACGGCUUGCAUGAGAGAAACGUCCCCAUGGUUUCUCUUCUUUCCUCACGUACCCACAUGACAAAGAAGACGAUGCAACAAUCCAGCACUGUCAUUUAUUAGCAUGUAAAGUGCGUGCAGGUGCAUAGACGUAACGGAAUAUUGUAAUACCUCAGGUGACGGUGGAUCGAUUUAUGUACAGCUAAAUUAACCCAGAUGUUUUUAUGAAGGCUAGACGAUGUUGGGAAGAUUGAAUUAAUUCCUUGUGUGUUCACAAAAUAGAUUAUUGUAAUUGUACAUGAAAAGUAUGUCAAUAAAACAGACACAUUUGCAAUUUCAAACAUGGGAAACUUUCUAUUGACUUUGGUGCGCAUACUGUCAAUGAGGCCCUGGUGACUGAAUGUAGCCAUCUUGAUAAUGGAUUAUUUUGUGAGGACCUGUAAGCUUUAUAUCAGUCGCUUCUAAAGGGUGUCAAAUGUUCAAAUUUACUUCUUCAAGUACUUACAGUGGCAGAAAAAGCAAAUCAUAAUUUAUUGGCAAUAUAAGCAGGAGCAUAGCCAUGUAUGGUGACAGUGGGGUAUUGGUAACGGGUUUAGAGGGAUUGGACAAAAAUGACCAGCCAGCACUUUACCAGUGACUGUUUGAAUUGGUUCACCGAUGGGCUGUUGAUCACCUCGUCUGGCAAUCGAUUCCAAGAAUCCUGAUCGAUUCCUGACCCUGAUCGAGAAGGCCCAGCGUCUUCGAUUUCGCCGAAACCAGCGGGGAUUCACCUUCUGUGAGUGCCCGCCUAGA